GAUGAACGCUGGCGGCGUGCCUAACACAUGCAAGUCGAGCGAUUUACUUCGGUAAAGAGCGGCGGACGGGUGAGUAACGCGUGGGUAACCUGCCUCAUACACAUGGAUAACAUACCGAAAGGUAUGCUAAUACAAGAUGAUAUAAGAGAUUUGCAUGGAUUUCUUAUCAAAGCUCCGGCGGUAUGAGAUGGACCCGCGUCUGAUUAGCUGGUUGGUAAGGUAACGGCUUACCAAGGCGACGAUCAGUAGCCGACCUGAGAGGGUGAUCGGCCACAUUGGAACUGAGACACGGUCCAAACGCCGACGGGAGGCAGCAGUGGGGAAUAUUGCACAAUGGGCGAAAGCCUGAUGCAGCAACGCCGCGUGAGCGAUGAAGGCCUUCGGGUCGUAAAGCUCUGUCCUCAAGGAAGAUAAUGACGGUACUUGAGGAGGAAGCCCCGGCUAACUACGUGCCAGCCGCCGCGGUAAGAC
rnacentral:rRNA from 1 species